rnacentral:lncRNA from 1 species
ACAGCUUUCACUGGGAUACUGAUAGUAUUCUCCCAAAAUUACAUUCUGAAUUUCAGACUAUUUAUAGGCCAUUUUGUAAUGAAAAGACAAAGCAAUAAUGUGCAAUGAAGGUACAUAAAAUUAAAACAGCUAUUAUCAUUUGCAAACUAGUAGGUAGAUUUGCUUUUAGAUAUUAUAUUUAGCUAUUACAUAUUUUCCACAAUUUUUUUUUUUUUUUUUUUUUACAUUAUUUAAUAAGUACAACCAACAUGUCAGUUUGUAUUGUCUUUCUAUGUAUUAGACAACCAACAUGCAGUUUGAUUGCUUUCAUGAUUCAUUUUCAGAUUUGGCUCUUAAAUUGUUAUAGCAGUAUAUUGCAAUUGAAUUGAGUCAUCAAUAUCAUAACUCUCUUUGUUCAGAUAGGAAAUUGGAUGUUAAGGGGUUUUAAGGUGUAGGCCUAUACAGUAUCUGUUUUAUUUAACCUUAGCACUACCCAGGAACAAGGCUUGACCUUAGUGUAACUGUAACCCUGCACCAUCUCCUGAUUAUAACUUCUUAAUGUUACCCUCUACAGUAAUGUCCCUGUGUCUAAAGAGCCCAAGCCUUUCAUGUAGAAACUAAAGCAUGGCAGGUGGCAGAUGGUUUUUCAAAAGCACUUUUAUUUUACAAAUACAAGCAUAAUAUUCACAAAUGUUUGAUCUUAAAACAAAAAAAUUGAGAAAGAUGAAUGGUUCGUUAUUGUGACGAUCAUGCUGCAACAUGUUAACACUCAUUUUAAAAUCAAAACAUAGAAUGUUAAAAUCAUAGAAAUAUAAAAUGGCUUGCAAUACCGAGAAUCGAGGGAAUAAACUUUUACAUCAGGGAAUAAUUAUUUUAAAAAUUUCAUCAAAAAAAAAAAAAAAAAAGGUAUUGGCAAAACAUGUUUCUGCACUGCCCACUUCCGCUAAAUCACAACCCACGCAUGCACGCAAUCUUUAUUUUGUACCCUAUAAAAGGCUACAGAUAGGCCUGUUACCGGCGCAUCCAGUAAACUGUCUUUCGGUUUCGAUGGCUUUUCCGUGUGAUUUUAAAACGGUUGCAGCAACUUCUGCAAGUUGCACCUGUUUCCAGGAGCAGAAGAUCUGCUUGUCGUUUUAGUGGAAAAUUAUUUUCCUUCAUAAAGUGAAUUGCCAGAGAGUUGUUGUAGCUAUGAGCUGUACAGCUGUGUAAAUGAACAAGUGCUCGCUUUGACUUCCUUCUUCACUUUUUUCCCCCAACAAAAAGGUUCGUUUGGCUUCUUAUGUGUUUCAGACAAAUUAUUAUAGCCUAUAUUUUAAAAAUGAUUUUGAUCAUCGGUUUACACGCGACAAAGAAACACAAUUCAUACACUUCAUAGAUUUUUAAGUAACUCUGGCAACCACGAAAGAUUCGUUGUUAAGUUUUUUUUUUUUUUUUUUUUUUGUAGUAAUUAAGAGCCGAAAUACCACAUUAAUAAAUGACCUAAGGGACCUGAAAGAUAUGUAUAUAGUAUAAAAAAAAUACCAGUAAAAAUAAUUCUGCACAAUAGGCUACUGGUUUAGGGAAGCUGAUCAAACGGAGUUAACACUGACAUCAGAGCAGCUUUACGAGUCAAAAAUCAUUACAAGGUCAAAAUAAGCUGUGAUUUAAUGCGACACUAUCAGAAUUAUCUGAACCGUUAAAUGUCACAAUACUACUGUUUAAAACUAUAGGUUUUAUUUAUUUUUUCUGACCUAGACUACAAGUAGGCCACACACUCAUUCCGGUUUCGAAAGAACGUAAAAACAAACAAACAAACAAACGUUAAACAAAUGCACAAUGAUGUCGGAAAAGCAGCACCAUCAUGUACAGUACCUGUUAGAACAGCAAUACAAGGCUUUCUUUAUUUGGGAAACUCCCACGGGCGUUCUUCUCGACAUUGGAUCCCACGGGCCGUGAUUUAGAGCAAAAAGCUUAAAUACACCGUAUAGAGCUCGAGUCUCCGAGGACAACCAGCGUCACUCCACGCGCUCUAUCCCUUCAAGAAAAGCCAACGAAUCUUUGUUUCUAAGAUUUUCAGUAUAGUCUAUUUAAAGGCGGACCUCAACAUCUGAACAUCUGUUCAAUUCACGUGACUCUAAAAUGCUAACAUCUGGUCAAAAUAAGUUUCAUUCGUGUGCCUCUAACAUCCAUCUGCCAAAUGCCUUACAAGUGGAAAUGAACUCAAACUUUGGUCCAGUUUUCUCCUGAAGUUCACUUAUGACGUUUAUGUAAAAAUAAAAGUGUUUGCUAUUAUUUAAACCAAAUAUUAGAGCAAUUGAAAAAGUUGUCCACAAUGAAUUAUUCGUUAAAACUUGACGUAAUUUGUUUGUGUGUCUCUCGAGGGGAUUUUUAUUUAGGUUAACAUUACAGUUGCUCAGCAUUCAGGCCAGCUUCAUCCACCCCACCUUCCCGUGUCCUGCUGAAGGCAGCUUAAAUUUCAUAGACAUCUGGGAAUUCCGCACAUGCCUCAAAACCCAAUUACACACCUUCAAACGUGCACGUGCUUUUAUUUCAAAUAUUCCAUGAUUCUAAAAUACUUUCCCAGACUUCAUAUAAAACCAAACGCAACUGACAGUAUAUACUACAUAUGGUUCAAUGCCAAAUACAUACCACUAACGUAUAGCAAAAAUAUCCCACUGGCCUUCCGCAGUCAUAGCAAGACAAAAACGCAUUUUAGACUUUUGUUCCUAUAAAUUAAUAAUUUCUAUUUUAUUUAGUGAACUGGAUGUAGGCUACUUACAUUGCAAGGAACUUCUUUUUAUAAAAUGAACGAAACUGGACAAUAGCAAAACAAUCAGACAAAACUGAGUAGCACUGUCUUUUUCCCCUGCACACAGUAUUUUUGGAGCAGCCUCUGGACAUACGUCCAUUGCAAUCCCCAGGGAUUUGACCCUGUGACGCACGUGUGUAUUUGGG